rnacentral:rRNA from 1 species
CAGUAGCCACGGGAAUACGAAGGGGGCUAGCGUUGCUCGGAUUUACUGGGCGUAAAGGGCGCGUAGGCGGACAGUUAAGUUGGGGGUGAAAGCCCGGGGCUCAACCUCGGAAUUGCCUUCAAUACUGGCUGUCUUGAGUGUGAGAGAGGUGUGUGGAACUCCGAGUGUAGAGGUGAAAUUCGUAGAUAUUCGGAAGAACACCAGUGGCGAAGGCGACACACUGGCUCACUACUGACGCUGAGGCGCGAAAGCGUGGGGAGCAAACAGGAUUAGAUACCCCGGUAGUCCCUGUCUCUUAUAC